UACGGAGGGUGCAAGCGUUGCUCGGAAUUAUUGGGCGUAAAGGGUAGGUAGGUGGUCUCGUUUGUCAGGGGUGAAAGCCCUGGGCUUAACCCAGGAAGUGCCUUUGAAACGGCGAGACUUGAGUUCUGAAGAGGAUAGCGGAAUUCCCGGUGUAGCGGUGAAAUGCGUAGAUAUCGGGAAGAACACCAGAGGCGAAGGCGGCUAUCUGGCCAGACACUGACACUGAACUACGAAAGCGUGGGGAGCAAAC
rnacentral:rRNA from 1 species